AGGGAUGUAGCUUAGAGGCAGACCAUCUGCUUUGCAUGCAGAAAGUCCCAGGUUCAGUUCGUGCCAUCUCCA